rnacentral:rRNA from 1 species
AUUGAACGCUGGCGGCAGGCCUAACACAUGCAAGUCGAACGAGUGGCGGACGGGUGAGUAAUGUCUGGGAAACUGCCUGAUGGAGGGGGAUAAAUACUGGAAACGGUAGCUAAUACCGCAUACCAUCGGAUGUGCCCAGAUGGGAUGAGCUAGUAGGUGGGGUAAAGUCUCACCUAGGCGACGAUCCCUAGCUGGUCUGAGAGGAUGACCAGCCACACUGGAACUGAGACACGGUCCAGACUCCUAAGGGAGGCAGCAGUGGGGAAUAUUGCACAAUGGGCGCAAGCAUGAUGCAGCCAGGCCGCGUGUAUGAAGAAGGCCUGCGGGUUGUAAAGUACUUUCAGCGGGGAGGCGUUACCCGCAGAAGAAGCACCGGCUAACUCCGUGUCAGCCGCCGCGGUAAUUC